ensembl:lncRNA
GUCAGAUAUUUUGAUCGAAAGUGAAAGCGUAUCUGACUUACUCUGCCCUGCUUUUAGCAUCAUGUAGAGUUCCAUGGAAAUAAAAGGCACAGGUGAUGAAAUUGUGAUCAACGUUGUGAAAUGGGAUCACAAUUAUUUCUUUAAUCAAAACAAACCUUAUGACAUAGGUGUGGAAAUCAUAUUGCUAUGCUUUCCACCUGCAGUCAUAUUUUGUAAUCAGCACUUUUGGCCAAACACAUGGUGUAAAUUAUAUGGAAAAAUGAGAAGGCCUGUUCUGUCUCAUGCCGUUGCCAGCAGUAACCACCAUGACGGUAAUCACUGCAAGAGAGUUUUCUGCAGUUUGGGAAGGAAUGGAGACCAUGGAGCAUCCCCCCAGGACCCUGGAUGA